GAUCCUGCUCAGGAUGAACGCUAGCUACAGGCUUAACACAUGCAAGUCGAGGGGCAGCGGGAAGUCAGCUUGCUGACUUUGCCGGCGACCGGCGCACGGGUGAGUAACACGUAUCCAACCUCCCGCAUACUCGGGAAUAGCCUUUCGAAAGAAAGAUUAAUGCCCGAUGGUUUCAAGGGAUUGCAUGGUAUCUUGAAUAAAGAUUCAUCGGUAUGCGAUGGGGAUGCGUUCCAUUAGG
rnacentral:rRNA from 1 species